rnacentral:rRNA from 1 species
CAAUAGCGUAUAUUAAAGUUGUUGCAGUUAAAAAGCUCGUAGUUGGAUUUCUGGUGGGAGCGAUCGGUCUGGCGCUUAGCGCGAGUACUUGCAUCGUCUCCGGCCAUCCUUGGGGAGAGUCUGUCUGGCAUUAAGUUGUCGGGCAGAGGAUCCUCAUCGUUUACUGUGAAAAAAUUAGAGUGUUCAAAGCAGGCUUAUGCCGUUGAAUAUAUUAGCAUGGAAUAAUAAGAUAGGACUUUGGUACUAUUUUGUUGGUUUGCGCACCAAAGUAAUGAUUGAUAGGGACAGUUGGGGGUAUUCGUAUUCCGUUGUCAGAGGUGAAAUUCUUGGAUUUACGGAAGACGAACUACUGCGAAAGCAUUUACCAAGGAUGUUUUCAUUAA